rnacentral:rRNA from 1 species
AACCUGGUUGAUCCUGCCAGUAGUCAUAUGCUCGCUUCGAGGAUUAAGCCACGCAAAUCUUAGUAUCGGAAAUUCCGCCUUCGGGUGUCUCUGUUUCCCGAUCUGUGGAGGGCUCAUUAUAAUGGUUGACAUUGCUCCGCUGUGUGGACAGCAGUUUCUGCCAAAUCGGAUACGAGAGGAUAGCGCUUGCUAGAACGCGGAUGUUUUUGAUGAAGUAUCAAACGCAUCGGGAAAGUCAUGGACUGAGGUACUUGGCAAUUCAAUUGUCAAAGAAGAAAAAGCGAAUCUCAGACUCAUACACACCCAAGUUCACUAAAACGGUUGUAUCGAAAGAUAUAGAGUCCUUUUCGGCUUGGGGUUUACAAACGCUCAAUUUUGGGCGGUGCGUGGAUUAUCUUCUCCCCCUUAACAUGUCGGUCACAUCGUUAGCCAGUGAAGCAAUUAUGGGUCACAGAGAAUUCGGGUUCUAUUCUGGAGAGAUAGCCUUAGAGAUAGCUGUCACAUCUAAGGACGGCAGCAGGCACGCAAAUUGCAUUCUGCGAACAACAAGAUAUCGUGACGCAGCGAAGAAGUUAAUCCCAAGUUACACUCAUCUAAUGUUUGUAUUGAUGGAAAUGUAGCGGAAGUCAAAAAGACCACUCAGUAUAUAUUGGAGAGCAAGUGCGCAGUCGCUGCAUUUCCCAGCUCCAAGAAGCGUACACUAUUUUUGCUGCGCUUAAAGCGCUCGUAGUCGAACUCUGAGUUAAGGCCUAGCGAUCAGACUAUGGUAUGAGGCUAGUAAUUGCAAGGCCUUGUGUCUCAAGUCUGGGAUACUGUCGGGAUAACCCUAUUCUCGUAAUCAGCCCUGAGAACCAACCUGCACGUGAAACCGUACACAGGCGUUUUUGCUGACAUCUCAGGCACGUCACUGUGAUCAAAGCGAAGUGAAUGGCUGGUGAGCUUUCGUUGAUCAAGAACGUGCGUGUCGGGAGCGAAG